CGCAACGGAUUCCUAUUUUGUAAUUUCAAAUGUUUGUAUUUUGUAAUUAUUUAUGAUUGAUAGAUUAAAAAGAUAAUGGAAGACAUUAAUAACUUACAUAAUGAAAAUGUUACACAUGAUUUCAAUAAUACAUUUUAAACGAGUUAAAGAUAAUGCAUUAUUACUCUUCACACAGUUAUAAGUUAAUGUACUUAAACUAACAUGGAUAAUAAGCACUUUUAACGAUAAGACCAAAGUUUUCUUAUCCUCCAAUCCAUGGUUAAGUUAGCCAAGCUUUCUCUGGGAACUUAAACCAUAGUGCGUUGAUGCAUAUCGCUUCCUUGAAGUGGGCCAUCCAUUAAACUAGAGAACAGAACCUUGCCACGCUUUGCUUUGCAUAUCUUUCCACCAUCAAGAUUCGAGAGUGACAUCCUAUCCAUCAGUUUACAUUUUUACUCAGAUUAAAAGUAAAAAUUAUACAUCAAACUUUAUUUUUAGCCAUCAAGAAGAGGAUAAGUAACCAAAAGUGAAUCAUAUCACUUUUUCUUUUCUUGACAUAAACUCUACUGAUUAUAAAAGCAAAUGCUUGAAGAUAAACUCAAAAGGUUAAUUCAUGUAUCGUGAUCCAAACGAAAAAGCGUGUGAAUCAAUGAUGUAGGAUUAUUUUAGUUAAAGUAGAAAUCUUAAUUUGAGCCUUAUAUAUAUAUAGCUAUGUUAAAUAUUUAGAAGAAAAAUUUUAUUAUCUAUAAUAAUCUUAUAGAAUUAUCUCCUGUGAAAAAUACUUGAUAUUGAGGCAAAUAAAAUGUAAUGUAAUCCAUUUAAGAAAUUAAACUUUCUCAACAAGUGUUCUUUUUCUGGCAUGCAAAUAGAUUUGAAGAUCGAAACUGAUCACAUGUUUGAGUUUAACUUUAUUUCUUGACGAAUUAAUUACGUUAUCCUCCAAAGUAAUUUUGAAUAUAGACAAGCAUGGCACUUGUCAACACUGAUGCAAAAACCAAGUGCUGGAUGUGGUGAGUUGUAGGGUGUGGGAGCAGUAAUCAAUGCCAGGUAAAGGGCAAGCAAUGAAUUGGACCUAUCAUAUUUUUGGGGUCCUACUAGUUGAGUUUGCAACCUUCACCGCACGAGAACUAAAUGAUAGACCCUGGUUCCAGUGGUCGUGCGGGGUUCAGUGAAUAGCAUAAGUUCCCAUUUCCCUUGCACCAUCACGUGGCCUUCACAAGGUCUACACCUCUGGACCAGCACUCCAUUUUGCUCUAUUCCUAACCCAACACUACCAUUUUGGACCAUGUACCUAACCAUACUAUAUGUCGAGCACAACUUUCACUAUACAUGGACUAGAAUCAAUAGUGUGGAAUAAAAACACACACAAACAAACCCAAUUGAAACAAACAUUAUUAAUUAGUUGUUUAAUUUCUAAGAGAAACAUGUUACAAGGUAGCUAUAGGGGAUUAAUUAAUUAAUUAAUUCAUUCAUUAAUUAAUUGAAAAUGUUAUUGUAAUCAAAUAAUCAACUAAGGUGAAGCGAAUAUUUCCUACUAGCUAAGUGGAAACAAGGAAGUUGUGUGAGUUCUAAAAUCAUGAUACGUUUGACGGGCAUCAGCCGACACAUUGGACAUAUUAGCAAACAAUAUCAACAGGUGCAUGCAUGAACUCCUAGUUUCUUUGUUUUUUCUUUUGUUUGUUUGGAAGCUAGCUAACUCUUUCAUAAUAAACUAGGUUAAACUAAUAGUGUUUUGUUUGAUACAUGGUCAAGCGGGGCAUUUAUGAUUAGAGGCUCAAGAGUUUGAUAUACAAGUUCAGCAUACAUGAUUUAUCAGAAUCAGAAGCUACUCUGGUGGCGACACAAAAUUUGACACACGAAGUUGGCUAUAAAGAGAUUCCAUUAGAAAAGGAAGAAGAAGAAAAAAAGUGGAUGGCCAAUCGUAUCAUAAACAAAUACAAGUUGUUCCGCUUGAUAAAUAAACAUUAUAUAUAUAUUUAUAUGUCUGUGUCUUAUUUAUCUUUAAAUGGAUCAACACAUUGUUUUCAAGAUUAGAUUCUCCCUGCUGUUGAUGAACCUAAUCCGUAGUCUUUUCAGAAUGAUCAUCUUCACCAAAUUAUGGUGUUAAUGAAUAUGACAAUUCCCUAAAACAUUAAUACAUUAUUAAUAUAUACUUUAUAUUAAGUAGUAGUAUAUAAUAAAUAAACCCAAGCAAUGAAAAAAAAAGAAGCUAGAGAGAGAAAGAGAAUAAAUGUAUAGGUGGGGACACAUGGCAGUAAAAUUGAGACAACUAAAAGAAAACGGGUAAAGUGGCUGUGGCACGUUGGUGCUCUCAUUCCUCAACUAGCUUAUAAUGCUGCUUCUCUUUUAGCCGACCCAACUUCCAUGCUGUCUCAAACUAUCCUUGUUUCACAAGACAAUAAUCCUUUUCGUUCCUUUGCCUCACUCACUCAUGCACAAACGCGCGCGCAUAUAUAUAUAUAUAUAUAUAUGCUUAGUACAAGUCCCAAAGGGCAAAUAAUCCCAAUAACUUUGAGAAAGCUAGCUAGAGAGCUAUAUCUAACUUUGAAAAUUUGCCCAAUAUACAUGUUCUACUUUGCCUAUUGCAACAUAUCCUAUAGUUAGCUUCUUAGUUCUUACAUUACAUACAUGGAAGUUGACUUAGUUCUUGCUCUCCCCACUCAAAAUUCCGUUGAGGAAUUCAAGCUUAACAAGUCGAAACAGAUAGUGAGUUUACAGUUAUGGAGAGCCAGUUGCGGUUCAGAAAGCGAAAAACGUGUCAAACACAAUAAGCGCAGCUUCGAAGAGUCCUUUGGACAUUUUUUGAAACCUUUGCCUUUACUAGUUUGGAGUGGACAGCCAAAUGAAGAAGAUGACCGCAGUGAAAAGGUGCAAAGAAACAUUCACAUACCAAACAAGUAAGUUGUGUCUCCACUUACUAUGUUCUCCAUAUGUAUGUUUGCUUACCCUUCUAAAACUAACUAGUAAAGUAAUAAUUGACAUUUUGAUCAUAUAUAUGUGCAUUUUUUAUGUUAUUCUUUUAUGGUACUUAGAGGUUUAUCUCGUUAAUUUGCGUAAUAAAGGUUUCUAUAAAAUGUUAAUUUAGACUACCAAAGUAAAACUCUAAUUCUGAUUUAAUACCAGUAUAAGAAGUACCUAUAGAACUACAUGUAAGUUUUGUUCUUAGUAAAGGACAACUAGAACUUCUGUAAUGAUAAGCUAUUAAAAGAAGGUUAUCUUACUUACUUUGAUGGUGUUCAUACAGGAAUGGUGAUGAAGAAAACCAUUUGGUGGGGUGGCCACCAGUUAAAUCAUGGAGGAGGAAAGAACUCCAUCAGCAGCAUCCUGCGAGAGGCCGAAUUAGGAACGAUAGGAUUCAAGCUAAUGAAAAUCAAAGUAGAGGACCAAACUCUUUAUAUGUCAAGGUUAACAUGGAAGGGGUAGCCAUAGGAAGGAAAAUCAAUUUGAGGCUUUUCAAUUCUUAUCAGACACUCACAAGCAGCUUGAUCAGCAUGUUUGCUAAAUGUAAGUGAAUGGUUCUACAUUUCUUUUUUCUUUUGAGUUUGUUGUGAGAUGUAUGCAGUGGAUUUGAUUUUUGAUUUGGUCUAUACAUGUUAUAUUUGAACAGACCAAAAAUUUGAGGAAGUUGGAGAAAGUUACACGCUCACCUUUCAAAACGAACAAGGGGAAUGGCUGCAAGUAGGACAUGUUCCAUGGCAGUAUGUGCAUAUUUUAUAUAUACAUUGAUUACAUACUUCCAUUGACUACUUUAUGCCACGGAAACUUUAAGGACAAUUCAUUCCUUGGAGAAAAAAUUAAAAAAGAG
rnacentral:lncRNA from 1 species